rnacentral:rRNA from 1 species
GAUGAACGCUAGCGGAGGCUUACACAUGCAAGUCGAGGGGUAAAUGGUAGCAAUACUAGUGAGACCGGCGGACGGGGUGCGUAACGCGUAUGCAACAUACCUUGUGCAGGGGGAUAGCCCGUGGAAACGCGGAUUAAUAUUCCAUAGUCCAGCUAUAUCGCAUGGUAUAGUUGGUAAAGAUUUAUCGGCACAAGUUUGGCAUGCGUCUGAUUAGCUUGUUGGUAGGGUAACGGCCUACCAAGGCUACGAUCAGUAGGGGUUCUGAGAGGAUUAACCCCCACACUGGUACUGAGACACGGACCAGACUCCUACGGGAGGCAGCAGUGAGGAAUAUUGGUCAAUGGGCGGAAGCCUGAACCAGCCAUCCCGCGUGAAGGAAGACAGCCUUACGGGUUGUAAACUUCUUUUCUGUCAGAAGAAUAAGCUUGUCGAGACGAGUGAUGCCGGUAUGACAGGAAUAAGCAUCGGCUAACUCCGUG